AUUUACGCAUGCAUAGUCCGUCAUCUGCUGCCAUGUGACAAGCAGUUCUGCAGGUGCACUUUAUGGCCCAUUCUCUACCAUGGUUGUUGCUCCUCCUUGGUCUUUUCAUAGGGUCAGGAACACUGGGAGAAGAUACAGUGGGGAAGAUAUCCUUGGGGAGUUGGCCACUUGGCCCCUGGAGGUCCCAGCAGAGCAAGAGGUAGAAAGUGUUACAUGGAGCUCUUGAGAGCGUGUUGCUGUUUUACAACAAGGAUGAACAGACAAACCAGUUCUGGUUUCUGAGACUCAGGGACCCUACAGUGGAUGACUGAACAUUCCCCACCACAGCUACUCUCUUCAGAUCAGCCCCCUGAGGCUGCAGGACUAUAAGCCUAUAAGCCUGGGUAACUCUGCAUACUUCCUCAAUCAUUAUCACCAGGGAUUUCACCCUGCUUGUCUAUGAGAUGCUGUAGGAGUUGAACAUCUUUGCCAGCUCCCAGAUCAUGAAGGAUGGGACCUGCUUCAUCACCCUGGCCUGCUCCCUGGAACAGGCUGGAGAGAAUGUGCAGAACAGCUGGGAGCCUCCUAGUCAUGGGGCAGUUGUGUCCCAUGGGGGGACCACUCUCAGUGUCCCCUGGAUAUCUGGGGAAAGUGAGAGCUAUCACUGCACUGCCAGGAAUCCCACCAGCCAGAGCUCCAGCUCUGUCCUUACCAGACCCCUUUGCUCAGGUAAUGUUUUUCCUUCUCUGACUCUCUUCUUCCUGGCAAGCCUUGGUCUAGUUUCUUAGCAUCCGAGCAAUUGAAGAAAGGGAGGAGCCAGAUUAGUUGGCAGCAGGAAGUGUCUCUGGGGUGGCAGGAGACAAGGGCUCUGGAGCCACCAUCCCAGGGCCCGCUUCGGUCCACCUUUUCUCUGUUGGCCUCGGUCCUCUGUGCCUGACCUGCUGCAGACUCAGCGAGGCAUUCAGCUCAUUCCUGGGACUCCCUGAGGAAAAGUGCUGCCUCACCCACACUCAACCCUGCACAGCCCACUGAGGAGAGCUUCGAAACCCCUUGCCUGUGUUCUCAGAGAGGACUUACCACCUCCCCUUGCCUAGAGGUGCUCUGAGAGACACUUGAGGCUGUGCUCUUCUGGCAGGCAAGGGGAGGCCUCUCAUGGUGUCCCUGGUCCCAUUUGGCUUAGUCAUAGGUCAUGGCUGGAAACUGUGUUAGUUCAAACAUAUCCUGUCUCUCCUCUUCUCAGUUGCCUUCUGAAACAGCUGUCUUUCCUGACUCCAGAUCUUCAAUCAUUCAUUCUCCACCCACUUGCUGCUGAUUUGCCCCUCCAGCUACAUCCUGAUGGAUAAAUUCAUUGGCCACUUUUAAAUUCUGUUAUCCUUGGCUUCUCCCAGCACUUGACACAUUAACCUGCUCUCCUUUGUCACCUGGGCUGCUCUCUCCUGGGACAUCUUCCCUUGGAUCAGGAUCCUUCUCAAGACUGGUGCCUCAGGCCUUUCUCCACUCCCCUUGUUUUCUUUCUGUUGCCAAAGGCAGAAAUGCCAGUGUCAUUUAGGGCCCCUCCUCUUCCCCACCACAUCCUGCCAUUGCUCACCCUUUCCCUUUAUUCCUUGCCUGGACCACUCCACAAACUCCUAACCACUCCUUCCUUCCUUAAUCUUUUCCUUCCCAAUCAUCUUCCAGAUUGCACUGCCAGAGGUCUAAUUCUAAAUUAAGAAAUGCUUGUGUUACUUUUUAGCUUAAAACUUUAGGACAUGAGAGGGAAUGUGGAAGUGUUGAUUAAACGGUAAUAGUUUCAGACAGACAGGAGGAAUAGGUUUUGAGAUCUAUUGCACAGAAGGCGACCAUGGUCAAUAAUAAUGUAUUAUACAGUUCAAAAUAGCUGAGGGAGUACAUUUCAAAUGUCUCACCGUAAAAAAUGGUAGGUGAGUGAAGAUAUGUUAAUUAAUUUGAUUUAAUCAUGCCACAUUGUAUACAUGAUCAAAAAUCACAUUGUUCACCGUAAAUGCAUGCUGCUGUGAUUUGUCAAUCAAAAAUAGUAAAUAUUUUAAAAACUAAAAAAAAGCCCUAUGAUGUCUGCCCACUAUCUAAGGUAUUUAAACAAUUAUUCAUUCAUUUAAGCCACAGGUAUUUACUGAGUAUCUUUUAUGAACCCUGUGCUGUUCUAACCAUUGUAGAUACAAUGAAGAAGAGGUCCAGAUAAAUUUCUACCCCUCAUGUAAAUCACUGUUACAAUCAUCACAACCUGCACCUGACUAGCUUUUUGGCCAUUUCAUCUUCCAGUCAGCCCUGGGAAAUGACUUUGGGAGAGUUCUGUAUUUUGUUGUACAAAGACAACAUUGAAUGUGUUCUAUUAUGGGCUUUUUGUGUCUGUGCUCUCCACUGAACUGUGAGAAAAACACAUUCUUACUGUUCUCUGCAUCUCUAAUACACAACGAGUAAUAGGUGUCAAAAAAUGUGGGUCUGACAAGUAUUUAAAAAGCAUCUGCGCUGGGUGUUGUGGGACACAUGCAGACAUGAUAAUUGGCUGUAGACGUUCACAGUCUCCCUCUCUCUACGGGGCCUGAUGGACAUUUCAGUUCCGCCCCCACAUUCGGCUACCUGAAGGGGCCUCCAGCCCAGCCAUGCCUCUGACUUGUCUUCCUUCAAAAUCAUUUUCCCUGUUUCUCUGUCUUCCUGUCUUCCUUUUCUCCCAAUUACUAACUUGUGGUCAUUGUUCAUUCAGCCUCCUUUGUACCCCACUCCCUGAGGAAAGAAUUUCUUCCUUUUUUGAUUCUGGGAGUUUUGGGGAUUGAAUAGAUUUCACCUGGACAUGGGGAGAAACCAAGAAGAGAAGUACGAGAUGGCGGCCAUCCUGUGAGACACAGAGUUAAAGAAGUUCGCAUGUGGAGUGCUGCCUGAGGCCAGCAUUUCCUGGUGUGAGAGAAGGACAUUGACACUGAUUAAGGCAUAAACCCUAUUUCAUUUACAAACUGAGUUCAAAAUUAUCAGGAAACUGCUAUGUGUCUUCUGUUUAAAAUAAUCUGUUUAUGUUUUAUUGAAGUGUGUUUUUAAGUGUUCAGAAAGAAAAAGGAGCUUAUUUAUUUAAGAAAAAUUGAAUGGAACAUAAAAACAUUGUUAUUGUCACACAUAUAUAUUAUUAAGUUUUUGUUAAUGUUUAAAUAACUAGAUUCAGCCCAGCUUCAGCUUGAAUGUCAUCUCCUUGGAGCAGCCUUUGGCCACUAUACUUAAGUAGAUCUUUCCUCUCAUUCAUAAUCAAUGUAUGUUUAAAAAAAUAAUCUGGAGUCUGUUAGGCUGAGACGGCCCUAGCAAUCUGGGAUUCUACACAAGCAAACAGAAAACCAACUCAGAAUGACUUAACCAGUCGGAAACCACCAGACUAACUCAGCUCCAGGAUUGUCCCUUCUGGAAGCUAUCCCAUGCGGCUGUCCCUGCCUUAUACAGGAUCUACCUUGGCAGAGGGAAAACAACUCUUGGUCCUUGUCAUGGUAAAUUUUAUGUGUCAACUUGACUGGGCUAAGGGAUGCUCAGAUACCAGAUAAAAUAUUGUUGCUGGGUGUUUUCAGAGGUCAUCAGCAUUGGAAUCAGUAGAUGAAGUAAAGAAGAUUGCCCUCACCAAUGAGGGCAGGCAUCACACAUCUAUCGAGGACCUGAAUAGAACAAAAACGCAGAGAGGAGGGAUAAGGAAGGACUUGUUAAAGAUUACAAAAUUAUAGCUAGAUAGGAGGAAUAAGAGGAAUAAGUUAUAGUGUUCUAUACCACUCUAGGAUGACUACAGUUAACAAUAAUGUACAGUUUUAGAUAACUAGAAGGAGGACAUUGAAUGUUCCCAACACAAAGAAAUGAUAAAUGUUUGAGAUGACAAGUAUGUUAAUUACCCUUAUGUUAUCACUACAAAUUAUAUGGCUCUAAACAUCACUAUGUACUCCAAGAAUAUGUACAAUUAUCAUUUGUCAAUUAAAAAUAUAUACAUACCAUGGAAUACUAUGCAGCUAUAAAAAAGAAUGGGAUCAUGUUUUCUGCGGGAACAUGGAUGGUGCUGGAGGCCAUUAUCCUUAGCAAACUAACACAGGAACAGAAAACCAAAUACUGCAUGUUCUCACUUAUAAGUGGAAGCUAAGUGAUAACUCAUGGACACAAAGAAGGGAACAACAGACACUGGGGCCUACUUGAGGGUGGAGGGUGGGAAGAGGGAGAGGAGCAGAAAAAAUAAUGAUUGAAUAGUAGGCUUAGUAUCCGGGAGAUGAAAUAAUCUACCUGACAAAUCCCCAUGACACGAGUUUACCUACAUAACACAUCUGCGUAUAUACCCCUGAACCUAAAAUAAAAAUUAAAAAAUAAAAUAAAAACAGAAAGGUGAAGGAUGGAAGGAAAUUAGUUUCUUUGCUUGAGUUGAGACAUCCAUCUUCUCCUCCCCUCAG
rnacentral:lncRNA from 1 species